UACGGAGGGCGCGAGCGUUAAUCGGAAUUACUGGGCGUAAAGCGCGCGUAGGCUGUUGUGUAAGUUGGGGGUGAAAUCCCACGGCUCAACCGUGGAACAGCCCUUGAUACUGCGCGACUUGAAUCCGGGAGAGGGUGGCGGAAUUCCAGGUGUAGAAGUGAAAUCCGUAGAUAUCUGGAGGAACAUCAGUGGCGAAGGCGGCCACCUGGACCGGUAUUGACGCUGAGGCGCGAAAGCGUGGGGAGCAAACAGG
rnacentral:rRNA from 1 species